CAAUAGCGUAUAUUAAAGUUGUUGCAGUUAAAAAGCUCGUAGUUGGAUUUCUGGUUGGCUAGUUUCUGCCUCCUUGUGGAUGUGCAGUGGUAGCCUACCAUCCUUCUGUUAACCCUUCAGCGCUUCAUUGUGUUGUUGGGGGCUCAGAUAUUUUACCUUGAGAAAAUUAGAGUGUUUCAGGCAGGCUAGCGCCGGAAUACAUUAGCAUGGAAUAAUAGAAUAGGACUUUUACCUCUUCUGUUGGUCUGAGGGGUUCAAGUAAUGAUUAAUAGGGAUAGUUGGGGGCAUUAGUACUUAACUGUCAGAGGUGAAAUUCUCGGAUUUGUUAAAGACUAACUUAUGCGAAAGCAUUUGCCAAGGAUGUUUUCAUUAAUCAAGAACGAAAGUUAGGGGAU
rnacentral:rRNA from 1 species